GCGGAACGAGUUAUCUGAACCUUCGGGGAACGAUAACGGCGUCGAGCGGCGGACGGGUGAGUAAUGCCUAGGAAAUUGCCCUGAUGUGGGGGAUAACCAUUGGAAACGAUGGCUAAUACCGCAUGAUGCCUACGGGCCAAAGAGGGGGACCUUCGGGCCUCUCGCGUCAGGAUAUGCCUAGGUGGGAUUAGCUAGUUGGUGAGGUAAGGGCUCACCAAGGCGACGAUCCCUAGCUGGUCUGAGAGGAUGAUCAGCCACACUGGAACUGAGACACGGUCCAGACUCCUACGGGAGGCAGCAGUGGGGAAUAUUGCACAAUGGGCGCAAGCCUGAUGCAGCCAUGCCGCGUGUGUGAAGAAGGCCUUCGGGUUGUAAAGCACUUUCAGUCGUGAGGAAGGUGGUGUAGUUAAUAGCUGCAUCAUUUGACGUUAGCGACAGAAGAAGCACCGGCUAACUCCGUGCCAGCAGCCGCGGUAAUACGGAGGGUGCGAGCGUUAAUCGGAAUUACUGGGCGUAAAGCGCAUGCAGGUGGUUUGUUAAGUCAGAUGUGAAAGCCCGGGGCUCAACCUCGGAAUAGCAUUUGAAACUGGCAGACUAGAGUACUGUAGAGGGGGGUAGA
rnacentral:rRNA from 1 species